AGAUUACAUGGAGAGGGGGAGGACCUGAUCCUAGAUCAUAAUGAAUCAGAUUACAUGGAGAGGGAGACCUGAUCCUAGAUCAUAAUGAAUCAGAUUACAUGGAGAGGGGACCUGAUCCUAGAUCAGCACUCCAACUCUGGGACACUUCCUGUAUGAAACAGAACACAUAGUUGUAAAGUCUAGUUACAGCAGGUGUUUACUGCCAUCUAGUGGAAGAUACCAAUACAACACUUUAUUAUCAGGGUGGGGAGGCGGCUGAGCUGAAACAGAAAGUAAAGUUGUUCUUUUGUUCAGGAUCCAUUUUGAGACGACAGAGCAGAAAACACUAUAUGGAGAAGAUUGAAAAAUAAAGAGUCAGUGCUCUAAAAUGAGUCGCUCUGGGAAAAGAGAGGAGGGACCUGCCUUUAAAAGGCGUCUCUCUGGGGAGAGAGAGGAGGGGGCCCCUGCCUCUAAAAUGAGUCUCUCUGGGGAGAGAGAGGAGGGGGCCCCUGCCUCUAAAAUGUGUCUCUCUGGGGAACAUGACACGAAAGCUAAGAGAAUGUUUUGAAAUGGAUAACUCUGCAUGCCCUAAUGAACAUGACCCUGCUGUAGCCAAGGAACAGUCCAGUUAGCCAAAGGAUCUCUUUAGCGCCUGGGGGCAUGUGGGCAGUGUUGGGGGUGAGGUGUUGAAUGAUAGGGGUGAGGCGGAUUUCCCCCCCCACCCCAGCUAAGUGGAGAGGAGAGGAGUUUAGAAGGUCACGUAUCCUCAUCCUGGCUGGUUUCUUCUGGAACUUUAAACCUGAGAUCCAGCUGGUCGACUGCCUCGGGGAUCCUACAUGGCUUAGAUGUUCUACUUUCAUUUCAAGUAUUUCUGUUAAAGAUCACUGGACUGUGGAAGUCACUUGAUAGCUUAAAUCUGUUGUCAUUCAAGAUAUGUGUAAGAAUUAUAUUAAUUAUGUUAAAUAUUCUGGUAGAUCGGUGAACAUUUCAGUGUCUCAAAUAAAAUGUACAUCCAACUGAGGAAAAUUAAAACAAAUAAAUAUAGUGUUGUUUAUGUGUUUGUUCAAUUAAAUGAGCACAAGGAGCAGUCAUUAUGGCUGAAGUAAAGUUGUGUUGCCUUGACACUCAAGGCAGGUUAUAAAGCUCUAUACUGUGUAAUGACACUCCUAUUACAUAUGUUGUAAUAUAUGUAUUUCAGAUUGUGUCCAUCUGUAAUAUGUACUAGAUGGGAUCAUGUCCCCAGAAUGUCACAAUCCUUUAAAAGGGAUACUCUGUGUGCUCCACAUGUACAGUGAUGACAUAAAAUCCCCUCUCAUAUAUAGGGCUGAAUUUCUAUUCAAAUGACCAAACUUGACCAACAGCAGACUCCUCUACUGUUUAUAGCAGUAUGUGGACACCCCUUCCAAUUAGUGGUCUCGGCUCUUUCAGCCACAUCCAUCGCUGACAGGUGUAUAAAAUCAAGCACACCGCCAUGCAAUCUCCAUAGACAAACAUUGGCAGUAGAAUGGCCUUACUGAAGAGUUCAGUAACUUUCAAUGUGGACCGUAUUAGGAUGCCACCUUUCUAAAAGUAAGUUUGUCAAAUUUCUGCUAGAGCUGCCCCGGUCAACUGUAAGUGCUGUUAUUGUGAAGUUGAAAUGUCUAGGAACAACAACAGCUCAGCCUCGAAGUGGUAAACCACACGGGACUGCCGCGUGCUGAAGUGUACAAAUCGGUUGCAGCACUUACUACCGAGUUCCAAACUGCCUCUGGAAGCAACUUCAGCACAUUAACUGUUUGUCGGGAGCUUCAUGAAAUGGGCUUCCAUGGCCGAGCAGAUGCACACAAGCCUACGAUUACCAUGGUGUAAAAGCUUGCCGCCAUUGGAGUCUGGAGCAGUGGAAACGUGUUCUCUGGAGUGAUGAAUCACGCUUCACCAUCUGGCAGACCGACGGACGAAUCUGGGUUUGGCGGAUGCCAGUAGAACGCUACCUGCCCGAAUGCAGGGUGCCAACUGUACAUUUUGGUGGAGGAGGAAUAACAGUCUGGGGCUGUUUUUCAUGGUUUGGACUAAGUCCCUUAGUUCCAGUGAAGGGAAAUCUUAACGCUACAGCACACAAUGACAUUCUAGACGAUUCUGUGCUUCCAACCUUGUGGCAACCGUUUGGGGAAGGUCUUUCCUGUUUCAGCAUGACAAUACCUCAUUGCACAGAUGCAGAAGAGUAGGGAGGUAAGGCAAUAAAUAGGCCAUAGAGGCGAAAUAAUUACAAUUUAGCGUUAACACUGGAGUGAUAGAUGUGCAGAUGAUGAUGUGCAAGUAGAGAUACUGGGGUGCCAAAGAGCAAAGGGAUAAGUAACAAUAUGGGGACGAGGUAGUGGGGUGUGCUGUUUACAGAUUGGCUGUGUACGUUCAGGUACAGUGAUCGGUAAAGGAAGUGUUGGCUUUGGGGAUGACCAGUGAAAUAUACCUGCUGGAGCGCUUGCUACCGGUGGGUGUUGCAUACACACCCACACACAGGUCCAGAGGAAGAGAGACAUAGAGAGCCUGAGAUUUCAUUAAAGGCUAAUUACAUUUUAAAACCCUUCAUUUCCUCAAAAAUGUUACUACCAGCAUUUAAACAUAUUACUAUUAUUAAAAUAUUAAGCUACACCUCAAAUGUCUAAACAUUUAUAUAAAUCCUACAUAUUACAACACAAUACUACAUUUUAAUAGCCUUUAAAUGUUUAUGUAUAAUUGUUUUUCAUUUUACAAGCGGUCACAAGCUCCCUCCAUAAGUUUAAGACAAAACUUGACCAACUGUUUCAAAUGGUCAAACUCAGGCCUCCCCAUUCUCUACAUAAAUUCCCAACUGUUUCAAUGUUUACACUUAGGCCUCCCCCAUUCACUACAUAAAUACCCAACUGUUUCAAAUGGUCAAACUCAGGCCUCCAUUCACUACAUGAAUUCCCAAAUGUUUCAAAUUUUCAAACACAUUCAACAGUUCAACAAGGUCACUAUUCAUCAAUCACCAGGACAUUUUUAUUACAAACAUAUGCUUUACUUCAAAGAAACAGUUGCACGAUCAUGUUACAUAAGCACUCACUCUAUAGCGUGAGAACAUCCGGACAGGAUUUCCAUAGCGUGAGAACAUCCGGACAGGAUGUCCAUAAAAGGGCAUAAACAAGUAACACUAAAAAUAGAUCAUCAAUCACUUUUUGACACAUGCCGUCUACUAUAUUCUCUCUGACAAAAUGUAACAAUUAGGUCUACAUAUAUUUCCUAUAGUUGACAUAUCAAUAGAUGUCAAAUUGUACACACAUUUCUAUAACAUAAACUAUACCAUCAACUCUCUGGGUCAAAGCAAUGGCCAAAAAUGUUAGAGCACCAUAGAUGGAUUCUGAAUGAGUCGCUUAGUGUUAUAUGUAUCUA